UGAUGAUGAUGAUAGUGAUGAUGGUGGUGAUAAUCAUGGUGGUGAUGAUAUUGAUGGUCAUUGUAAAGAUGUUGAUUAUAAUGAUAGUGGUAUUUUGCAUGGUGAUGAAGAUCAUCAUCACCAUCAUAAUCACAA